CCUACGGGAGGCAGCAGUGAGGAAUAUUGGUCAAUGGGCGUAAGCCUGAACCAGCCAAGUCGCGUGAGGGAUGAAGGUUCUAUGGAUCGUAAACCUCUUUUAUAAGGGAAUAAAGUGCGGGACGUGUCCCGUUUUGUAUGUACCUUAUGAAUAAGGAUCGGCUAACUACGUGCCAGCAGCCGCGGUAAUACGGAGGAUCCGAGCGUUAUCCGGAUUUAUUGGGUUUAACGGGUGCGUAGGCGGUCUUUUAAGUCAGAGGUGAAAGUCUAUGGCUCAACCCUAGAAUUGCAGUUGAAACUGGGAGGCUUGAGUACGUUAGAGGCAGGCGGAAUGCGUGGUGUAGCGGUGAAAUGCUUAGAUAUAACGAAGAACCCCAGUUGCGAAGGCAGCCUGCCAAGCCAUGACUGACGCUGAUGCACGAAAGCGUGGGGAUCAAACAGGAUUAGAUACCCUGGUAGUC
rnacentral:rRNA from 1 species